rnacentral:rRNA from 1 species
GAUGAACGCUGGCGGCGUGCCUAACACAUGCAAGUCGAGCGAUUCUCUUCGGAGAAGAGCGGCGGACGGGUGAGUAACGCGUGGGUAACCUGCCCUGUACACACGGAUAACAUACCGAAAGGUAUGCUAAUACGAGAUAAUAUGCUUUUAUCGCAUGGUAGAAGUAUCAAAGCUCCGGCGGUACAGGAUGGACCCGCGUCUGAUUAGCUAGUUGGUAAGGUAACGGCUUACCAAGGCGACGAUCAGUAGCCGACCUGAGAGGGUGAUCGGCCACAUUGGAACUGAGACACGGUCCAAACUCCUACGGAGGCAGCAGUGGGAAUAUUGCACAAUGGGCGAAAGCCUGAUGCAGCAACGCCGCGUGAGCGAUGAAGGCC